GAUGAAGAACGUAGCGAAAUGCGAUAAGUAGUGUGAAUUGCAGACUUUAGUGAAUCAUCGAAUCUUUGAACGCACAUUGCGCCCUUUGGUAUUCCGAAGGGCAUGCCUGUUCGAGCGUCAUUAUCACCCCUCAAGCCCUCGGCUUGGUGUUGGACGGUUUGGUGGAGGCCCCCUCGGGGGCUCCUGCCCCUCCCAAAGACAAUGACGGCGGCCUCGUUGGACCCCCGGUACACUGAGUUCUUCACGGGACACGUAUCGGACACAUGGGUUUACGGGACACGGUCUGCCUCCCCUCAGGGAGAAUCUUUCUAAGGUUGACCUCGGAUCAGGUAGGGAUACCCGCUGAACUUAAGCAUAUCAAUAAGCGGAGGA
rnacentral:misc_RNA from 1 species